AGUGAACGCUGGCGGUAGGCCUAACACAUGCAAGUCGAACGGCAGCACAGUAAGUGCUUGCUCUUACGGGUGGCGAGUGGCGGACGGGUGAGGAAUAAAUCGGAAUCUACUUUUUCGUGGGGGAUAACGUAGGGAAACUUACGCUAAUACCGCAUACGACCUACGGGUGAAAGCAGGGGAUCUUCGGACCUUGCGCGAUUGAAUGAGCCGAUGUCGGAUUAGCUAGUUGGCGGGGUAAAGGCCCACCAAGGCGACGCUCCGUAGCUGGUCUGAGAGGAUGACCGUCCACACUGGAACUGAGAAACGGCCCGAAUCCCAAGGGAAGGCGGAGUGGGGAAUAAUGGAACAUGGGGGAAAACCCGAUCCAACCCAUCCGCGUGGGGGAAAAAGGGCUUUCGAGUGUAAAACCCCUUUUGUUGGGAAAAAAAGGCAGAAGGUUAUAACCCGGCUGUUUGAACGGUACCAAAGGAAAAGGCACCGGCAACCUGCUG
rnacentral:rRNA from 1 species